UACGUAGGUGGCAAGCGUUGUCCGGAUUUAUUGGGUUUAAAGGGUGCGUAGGCGGUCGUGCAAGUCGGAUGUGAAAUCUCAGGGCUCAACCCUGAAACUGCAUUCGAUACUGCGCGGCUAGAGUGCUGGAGGGGAGACUGGAAUUUACGGUGUAGCAGUGAAAUGCGUAGAUAUCGUAAGGAAGACCAGUGGCGAAGGCGAGUCUCUGGACAGCAACUGACGCUGAGGCACGAAGGCCAGGGGAGCAAACGGG
rnacentral:rRNA from 1 species